rnacentral:lncRNA from 1 species
UAACUCUGUGUUUUAUUUGUUAAAGUCAGCUAUAAUGUUAACUCAGCCUCUAAAGCUACAGGUAUUUCUACAUUGUAAUGACGAGUUCCUUUUUAUCGUGUGUCCAAAUCAACAAUACUGUAAAUACGUGUGUCUACUCUUCGAACUCACCUUUACCUAUAAGUACACAGACAAAUCAAUACUUGACAUUGACCUCAAUAUACCUAAGUUAACUACAAAUUGAAACACCUGUAAUCGGACAAUUAUAUUAAAUCAAGCGUAAUUGAUAUUAUGGCUCGGAAAUGAUUAAUUCCCGAAACACAAGUCUACUUGAUAUUUCCGACUAUAAAUUGUAUAAAACCGUCUGUUAACCUUAUGUAAAGGUUCGAACCACUGGGCCCUGAGUCUCCUUGGCUGAAGAGAUCGAGAUAAGUAAGUUUAUAUAAUUUAAUAAGGUCUCUCAAAAUAUCAACAGAUGUAAAUAAUAUUGCAAUAACAAUACAAAGUAUCAAAGUCACAUAAAAUAUUACAUUUUAAAAUAAUGUAAAAGCUCCUAUCAAAAAUGUAAAAUGAAUAUUAAGUUUCGGCUUCUAAACAAAUGGCAUUUUACCGUAAAUACCCUAAACGGUGAAACUCUAUCGUAAUCUCAUUAAAUCUUAAAUUCAAACCCCCAAAAUAUAAAAGCUUCUUUACUAAAUUCUUACUAGAACACGCUAUGGACUAAAAGCGGACCAAAUAAAGCAACGAACAAUCACCCUAAGAAAUAAAGCAUAUCGGUUUUAUUCAAACCAAGUUGCAGUGUCUUAUUCAGACAUCGGGGGUAUAAUACACCCGUAAGCCUUAAUAAUAAAGAUAAACAACGGCGGUUUUAUUCAAACCAAAUGUCGAUUAUGUCUUAUACAGACCUUGGCUUUAUACGAUCAAGCGGCCG